CUAUUUAGGUAGCGCCUCGGACGAAUACUACUGGGGUAGAGCACUGUUAAGGCUAGGGGGUCAUCCCGACUUACCAACCCUUUGCAAACUCCGAAUACCAGUAAGUACUAUCCGGGAGACACACGGCGGGUGCUAACGUCCGUCGUGAAGAGGGAAACAACCCAGACCGCCAGCUAAGGUCCCAAAGUUAUAGCUAAGUGGGAAACGAUGUGGGAAGGCUCAGACAGCCAGGAUGUUGGCUUAGAAGCAGCCAUCAUUUAAAGAAAGCGUAAUAGCUCACUGGUCGAGUCGGCCUGCGCGGAAGAUUUAACGGGGCUAAGCUAUACACCGAAGCUGCGGCAAUGUGCUUUGCACAUUGGGUAGGGGAGCGUUCUGUAAGCCGUUGAAGGUGCAUUGUAAAGUGUGCUGGAGGUAUCAGAAGUGCGAAUGCUGACAUGAGUAACGACAAAGGGAGUGAAAAACUCCCUCGCCGGAAGACCAAGGGUUCCUGUCCAACGUUAAUCGGGGCAGGGUGAGUCGACCCCUAAGGCGAGGCCGAAAGGCGUAGUCGAUGGGAAACGGGUUAAUAUUCCCGUACUUCUUACUAUUGCGAUGGGGGACGGAGAAGGCUAGGUGAGCCUGGCGACGGUUGUCCAGGUCCAAGUACGUAGGUGGAUGAAUUAGGCAAAUCCGGUUCAUCAUUAACACUGAGAUACGAUGUCGAGCUACUACGGUAGCGAAGUCAUUGAUGCCAUGCUUCCGGGAAAAGCCUCUAAGCUUCAGAUAGUAAGAAAUCGUACCCCAAACCGACACAGGUGGUCGGGUAGAGAAUACCAAGGCGCUUGAGAGAACUCGGGUGAAGGAACUAGGCAAAAUGGUACCGUAACUUCGGGAGAAGGUACGCUCUUAACGGUGAAGUCCCUCGCGGAUGGAGCUGUCGAGAGUCGCAGAUACCAGGUGGCUGCAACUGUUUAUUAAAAACACAGCACUGUGCAAAAUCGAAAGAUGACGUAUACGGUGUGACGCCUGCCCGGUGCCGGAAGGUUAAUUGAUGGGGUUAGACGUAAGUCGAAGCUCUUGAUCGAAGCCCCGGUAAACGGCGGCCGUAACUAUAACGGUCCUAAGGUAGCGAAAUUCCUUGUCGGGUAAGUUCCGACCUGCACGAAUGGCGUAAUGAUGGCCACGCUGUCUCCACCCGAGACUCAGUGAAAUUGAAAUCGCUGUGAAGAUGCAGCGUACCCGCGGCUAGACGGAAAGACCCCGUGAACCUUUACUACAGCUUGGCACUGAACAUUGACCCUACAUGUGUAGGAUAGGUGGGAGACUUUGAAACGCAGACGCCAGUUUGCGUGGAGUCGUCCUUGAAAUACCACCCUUGUAGUGUUGAUGUUCUAACUUGGCCCCAUUAUCUGGGGUGAGGACAGUGCCUGGUGGGUAGUUUGACUGGGGCGGUCUCCUCCCAAAGAGUAACGGAGGAGCACGAAGGUGGGCUAAUCACGGUCGGACAUCGUGAGGUUAGUGCAAUGGCAUAAGCCCGCUUAACUGCGAGAAUGACGGUUCGAGCAGGUGCGAAAGCAGGUCAUAGUGAUCCGGUGGUUCUGUAUGGAAGGGCCAUCGCUCAACGGAUAAAAGGUACUCCGGGGAUAACAGGCUGAUACCGCCCAAGAGUUCAUAUCGACGGCGGUGUUUGGCACCUCGAUGUCGGCUCAUCACAUCCUGGGGCUGAAGUCGGUUCCAAGGGUAUGGCUGUUCGCCAUUUAAAGUGGUACGCGAGCUGGGUUUAGAACGUCGUGAGACAGUUCGGUCCCUAUCUGCCGUGGGCGUUGGAUGAUUGAGAGGGGCUGCUCCUAGUACGAGAGGACCGGAGUGGACGAACCUCUGGUGUUCGGGUUGUGUCGCCAGACGCAUUGCCCGGUAGCUAAGUUCGGAAUCGAUAACCGCUGAAAGCAUCUAAGCGGGAAGCGAGCCUCAAGAUGAGUCAUCCCUGAUACUUUAAGUAUCCUAAAGGGUUGUUGGAGACUACGACGUAGAUAGGCAGGGUGUGUAAGCGCUGUGAGGCGUUGAGCUAACCUGUACUAAUUGCCCGUGAGGCUUAACCAU
rnacentral:rRNA from 1 species